rnacentral:rRNA from 1 species
AGCAGUGGGGAAUUUUGGACAAUGGGCGCAAGCCUGAUCCAGCAAUGCCGCGUGAGUGAAGAAGGCCUUCGGGUUGUAAAGCUCUUUUGUCAGGGAAGAAACGGUGAAGGCUAAUAUCCUUUGCUAAUGACGGUACCUGAAGAAUAAGCACCGGCUAACUACGUGCCAGCAGCCGCGGUAAUACGUAGGGUGCAAGCGUUAAUCGGAAUUACUGGGCGUAAAGCGUGCGCAGGCGGUUUUGUAAGUUUGUCGUGAAAGCCCCGGGCUCAACCUGGGAAUUGCGAUGAAGACUGCAAGGCUUGAAUCUGGCAGAGGGGGGUAGAAUUCCACGUGUAGCAGUGAAAUGCGUAGAGAUGUGGAGGAACACCGAUGGCGAAAGCAGCCCCCUGGGUCAAGAUUGACGCUCAUG